UACGUAGGGUGCGAGCGUUAAUCGGAAUUACUGGGCGCAAAGCGUGCGCAGGCGGUUCUAUAAGACAGAUGUGAAAUCCCCGGGCUCAACCUGGGAACUGCAUUUGUGACUGUAGAGCUGGAGUACGGUAGAGGGGGAUGGAAUUCCGCGUGUAGCAGUGAAAUGCGUAGAUAUGCGGAGGAACACCGAUGGCGAAGGCAAUCCCCUGGACCUCUACUGACGCUCAUGCACGAAAGCGUGGGGAGCAAACAGG
rnacentral:rRNA from 1 species